rnacentral:rRNA from 1 species
CAGCAGCCACGGGAAUACGUAGGUGGCAAGCGUUGUCCGGAAUUAUUGGGCGUAAAGGGCUCGCAGGCGGUUUCUUAAGUCUGAUGUGAAAGCCCCCGGCUCAACCGGGGAGGGUCAUUGGAAACUGGGAAACUUGAGUGCAGAAGAGGAGAGUGGAAUUCCACGUGUAGCGGUGAAAUGCGUAGAGAUGUGGAGGAACACCAGUGGCGAAGGCGACUCUCUGGUCUGUAACUGACGCUGAGGAGCGAAAGCGUGGGGAGCGAACAGGAUUAGAGACCCGUGUAGUCCCUGUCUCUUAUAC